rnacentral:lncRNA from 1 species
AGACAGUCAUCUUGCUCACAAAUGCUGGGUGUCUGCAGCGGGUCCAGAGAGAGGAGAGGGAGCCUUGGUCUCAGACUCCAAAGUUUCUUAUUUUAUCUCUCCUCUCAGCAUCAAGUGGAGCCAAGAGGGAGGAGCAGCAGGAGCAGGAAGAAAAGGGGAGCUUUGAAAGGUAAGCUUCUGCCAUUCAGCCCUGAGCUCCAGAGCUGGCCUCCAUCUCCUGUCCCUGAGCGCCCAGCUCCAUGGGCUGGAGGAUGCCAGGGACAGAGCCUGUCCCUCAGGAAACAGAGCCCUCAGGGAGGCACCCGGGAAGGAGAUGAAAAACUGAGUACUUGCCAGAUUCUGUGCUGGGAACUAAGGCCCAGGCCAGCAGGCAUCUGGAAAUGGGUGUUGCCCAGCAGGGGCAUGUAGGCUGUGGUGGAGGUUGAAGCACUUGGUCAAUGACAAACAACCCAUCAGGAGCCAUGCCAUCCGCAUCAGGGAUCCUGUGGCCUUGGGCGCUAGUGCCUGGGCUCCAGAGUCUGACCUCAAACAGUCUCCCCUAAGGCACAUUGCACGCAGCUUCCUCUAAGAGCCCUAGGCCCCCACCUUCAGCGCUGUGACCUAGUCUCCUGAUUUCUAGCUUACAGAGCUGGCUGGAAGGACCUGGCAGAAGUGCGGGGCCAGAUGUCGCUUUCGCAAAGCUCCCCGGCGAGGCUGUCUUCUAAGGGAUGCUUCCAUCGCUUGUCAUCUCAAGACGCCCCGGGGGUGGCCUGCAAGACAGCGUCUUCCAGAGUCCGCCAACCAUGCGGGAAGCCUGUGGAAGGUACUCCUCUCACCCCCACUCCAGUACUUUUCCUUGCUCCUCUGACCCAGCCCAUUCUACCUUUGGUCUCCACUCUGCCAGCAGAACCUCCAUCUGACUUGACCAGAAUCCCGCUAGGCCCUGUUGCCAUGAGCUCAACUCCAGCUCACUCCUGUUGGCCAUUUCCCAACUCAGGCCUCGGCCACAUGAGCUGUCGCAUUGAGUUCCUCUCCCAGUGGAACAUAAUCAAGGUCUUGUUCUUCCCUGUGUCAUCACACCUCGAGUCCCAGCAAGGGCACCUGUUCUGUCACUGACCAGUGCCCUCAUUCUGGGGAGGCCCCGCAAAUAGGGAGGGAGAGACUGAUAGCCCCUCAGUUGCCAACCCUGAUGUCCAGAAGCUGCUUGAGACAGAAAUCACAGAAAGAAUACAUACGAAGGUCUGGGGAAAAGAAGACCAAGGUGAUCCAGGCACUCCUCAGAUGCUCGAAGCACACAAUAUCAUGUCUGGGCUGAAUUUCUGCUGAGGCCUACCCCUCCUGUCCUUGGAGCCUGCAGAUCUGAAAGCAUGUGGGGCUCAACACUCGGCCCUUCCACGGUCCCCUUUUCCCCCUCAGCCACCUGUGAUUCUGGGGCCCACUCGAAAGCUGACUUUGCACAGUUCAUGGGAAAACCUCUUGAGCCUCCUCCAGGUGACAAAGUCUUAACUUUGACAACAAAAGCAUCAGUUCCCAGCCUGCCCCAUCCCCUCCCUGCUGCCUCACCUAUGUGUGAGGAAAAUCAGAAGGCCCUGGGAUGGACCCUACCUGGCGAUGCCAGUGAGCCCUCAGAAGCCUCUCUCUUGGGGCAGGAGGGCCGGCUGCCUUCUCCAACCUUCACAUUCAGGCUCUCAGAGAGAAAAGGGCAGAGUGGGACCAUCAAGGGGGCCUAGCAAGGCCGUUUAGAGCUGAGUUCAGGGUGCCCAGUGGCCAGGAAUGAGCCUCGGGAAUAGAGUAAGGGUGGGGCCUCACCAGAGCCCUGCCGUGGGGUGGCAACAGUGGAGGGGGAGUCAGGGUUCCAGUCUUGGACCCAGCUCAGGGGAAUAUUAGACACCCUUGGGACCAAACCCCUCCAGCCCAUGCCUGAAAAGGAAGAGGUUUAUCACAACAGCCCUUUCAGAAAAAUGUUGAGACGCCUCCUGCCCUGUCUGAGGCCCAAAAAGGAGGAAGCACCAGAGAAUCCCCUUGCAAAGGAAAGCCCGUGUCAGCCAUCGCCCAGAGCCAGGCACGGGUCACACACAGCUCGGAGUUGGAUGGCAGGGCUGUUCAGGCGCCAUCGACAGUGACAUCCUUUGUCCGGGUCCUGGGAGAAAACAGGCUUGCAGAGAACUUCUGGCCUCCCAGUCGAAGCAUCAUAAAAACCAUUUCAGGCCUGGGAAGCUGGACAUGCCUGUUACCAUGAUGUUCCCUCCUCCCCAGACCAGAGAAGAACAAUGACAGAGGUCAGUCCCCAAACUACCUCCAGGGACCACAACUGUCUGAAUAUGAGGGAAUGGAUCAAAACAAGCAUGGCAACUGGACCUUGCCAUCCAGGCAGCCGCAGUCCCCAGCCAAACCCUGCCAGCCUGGGCUGAGGGUGGCAGCUGUCUCAGGCAAUCCAUUACCCGCCAUGCUGUCUCCAGAUAUGUGUCUCCUGGGAUGAGUAGACUGUGCCUGACACACCUUUCCUCGUAGGUAUGCUUAUCUCCCCAAACGGGGAAGUGGAGGAAAAGAAAACCUGGUUUUUCUCCUUAUCCCACCCUCUGUGCUAAUGGUGUCUUCCUACCCCAAUUUUCCCCAAAUACAUUUUUUUCUCCUUAGAGUUCAUGGCUUCUGUCUGUGCCCUGCUAGUGGUAAAAACGGGGUGAGGCUCCGCCCUUCCUAAGUGUCAGCUUUGGCUUCCAGAAGGGACAGGGCCAUGGGGGGAGGCUGACUGCAGCAUGGCUCACCCGCCCUCAUCCCGACUCCCUCAUUGCACCUGAAGUCCCCAUCAUGCUGUCCGUACAAAAACAAAUGGAAGCUUAAGAUAUUUCCAGAUGAACAAAACCUCUAAGACCGCAGCCCAGGAUGGGCCCUGCCUGUCCUCUCCUGCAUUCUCUGGUCCUUGAACUUGUGGGACUGUAUGGAGGGUGUUUUCAGAGGCUCCAGGAAGUGCAGAGAUAGGUUCACAGGUCACAGAGUGGGGAGGGGAGUGUGGGGUGGAUCUGGCCCUGAGUCCAGAGCGGGAAGAAUCUUGCCCCGCACCCCGAGCUCUUGGUGGGAAUAGAUGACGCUGCCCCAGGAGCAUCUUCUCCCCCUGCUGAAGCUGCCCUGGAGAUGGGCCUGUGCAUCCCUUUCAGCCAAGCAUCACCCUUCCUCUGUCCUUGUCACAGUCUGGAGCAGUAGCGACAAGGAUGACUGUGCUCUCGGCUCUGAGGGCAGGCGGGUGGGGAGCAUGGACGCUGCUGUGGGCCUGUCCCCUCUGCCCAGAGGAGUGCAGGGCCCUGCUCUCCUGCACCUGCCUUCUCCUCCUGGGGAAUGGAGCCAGGGAUGAGUGUGUGGCGUCACCAUCUGAUGGUGGGACACUGUGUGCCUAAGGUGGGACGUGGGGGAAGGAGACAAGGUGACACCAGAGUUUAAUCACUUACCUACUGAAUGACAGUUUUUUAUUUUUAUUAUUUUACCCCUUAUAAAUAAAGCUGCCGUGAACUUCUUUGUGAAGGCUUUU